rnacentral:rRNA from 1 species
UACGAAGGGGGCUAGCGUUGCUCGGAAUCACUGGGCGUAAAGCGCACGUAGGCGGCUUUUUAAGUCAGGGGUGAAAUCCUGGAGCUCAACUCCAGAACUGCCUUUGAUACUGAGAAGCUUGAGUCCGGGAGAGGUGAGUGGAACUGCGAGUGUAGAGGUGAAAUUCGUAGAUAUUCGCAAGAACACCGGUGGCGAAGGCGGCUCACUGGCCCGAUACUGACGCUGAGGAGCGAAAGCGUGGGGAGCAAACAGG